rnacentral:rRNA from 1 species
GACGAACGCUGGCGGCGUGCUUAACACAUGCAAGUCGAACGGAAAGGCCCUGCUUUUGUGGGGUGCUCGAGUGGCGAACGGGUGAGUAACACGUGGGUAACCUGCCCUUGACUUUGGGAUAACUUCAGGAAACUGGGGCUAAUACCGGAUAGGAGCUCCUGCUGCAUGGUGGGGGUUGGAAAGUUUCGGCGGUUGGGGAUGGACUCGCGGCUUAUCAGCUUGUUGGUGGGGUAGUGGCUUACCAAGGCUUUGACGGGUAGCCGGCCUGAGAGGGUGACCGGCCACAUUGGGCCUGAGAUACGGCCCAGACUCCUACGGGAGGCAGCAGUGGGGAAUAUUGCACAAUGGGCGGAAGCCUGAUGCAGCAACGCCGCGUGCGGGAUGACGGCCUUCGGGUUGUAAACCGCUUUCGCCUGUGACGAAGCGUGAGUGACGGUAAUGGGUAAAGAAGCACCGGCUAACUACGUG